GUCGAGCUCAGUAACGAGUGCUUGUAACCCAUGUGAGGAUGAUAAGUUGGUAGAACACUGGCUCGGCCAACGGGUCGGAUUUGAUGUGGCACUGUUCUGGGCUGCCCAAUCCAAGCUGAGAGUGGUCCGUGUGUGUUGAGCGAAAGCUUGGCGCAGACGGUUCCUAAAGUGGAGGGCAAUGCGUUAGGCUGGUUUCACAGAGCAGCGAUCACCUCCCUCUCUCAGUAGUGGAUGGAUAACGACUCAACGCCAUUCAUAUCCAUCAUCGCCUGCUGGCUCGUAUCCGGCUGAACCACCAACUUU
rfam:Brassica oleracea var. oleracea cultivar TO1000 chromosome C5, whole genome shotgun sequence